rnacentral:rRNA from 1 species
CAGCACCUCAAGUGGUCAGGAUGAUUAUUGGGCCUAAAGCAUCCGUAGCCUGCUCAGUAAGUUUUCGGUUAAAUCUGUACGCUCAACGUACAGGCUGCCGGGAAUACUGCAGAGCUAGGGAGUGGGAGAGGUAGACGGUACUCGGUAGGAAGGGGUAAAAUCCUUUGAUCUAUUGAUGACCACCUGUGGCGAAGGCGGUCUACCAGAACACGUCCGGCGGUGAGGGAUGAAAGCUGGGGGAGCAAACCGGAUUAGAUACCCGCGUAGUCC